rnacentral:rRNA from 1 species
UACAGAGGGUGCAAGCGUUGUUCGGAAUUACUGGGCGUAAAGCGCGUGUAGGCGGCUUGGCAAGUCCUGUGUGAAAGCCCUGGGCUCAACCCAGGAAGUGCGCAGGAUACUUUCGAGCUGGAGUGGCGGAGAGGAUGGCGGAAUUCCCGGUGUAGAGGUGAAAUUCGUAGAUAUCGGGAGGAACACCUGUGGCGAAGGCGGCCAUCUGGACGUUAACUGACGCUGAGACGCGAAAGCAUGGGGAGCAAACAGG